rnacentral:rRNA from 1 species
GACGAACGCUGGCGGCGUGCUUAACACAUGCAAGUCGAACGGCAAGGCCCUGCUUGCAGGGUCCUCGAGUGGGGAACGGGUGAGUAACACGGGGGUGCUCCGCCCUGCACUUCGGGAUAAGCCUGGGAGACUGGGACUAAUACCGGAUACGAGCUACUAUCUGCGGGAUGGAUGGAAAGAUUUUUCGGCGUAGGAUGAGUUGGCGGCCUAUCAGCUUGUUGGUGGGGUAAUGGGCUACCAAGGCGGCGACGGGUAGCCGGACUGUGAGGGUGGACGGCGGCAUUGGCACUGAGAUGAGGCCCAGACGCCUACGGGAGGCAGCAGGGGGGAAUCUUGAACAAUGGGCGCAGGCCUGAUGCAGCGGCGCCGCGGGGGGGAUGACGGCCUUCGUGUUGUAGACUACUUUCGCGAUAGACGAAGCUUUUUGUGACGGUACCUAGAGAAGAAGCACCGGCUAACUUCGUG